AGAUUGAACGCUAGCGGGAUGCUUUACACAUGCAAGUCGAACGGCAGCGCGGACUUCGGUCUGGCGGCGAGUGGCGAACGGGUGAGUAAUAUAUCGGAACGUGCCCAGUAGCGGGGGAUAACUACGCGAAAGCGUGGCUAAUACCGCAUACGCCCUACGGGGGAAAGGGGGGGAUUCUUCGGAACCUCUCACUAUUGGAGCGGCCGAUAUCAGAUUAGCUAGUUGGUGAGGUAAAGGCUCACCAAGGCAACGAUCCUUAGCUGGUCUGAGAGGAUGAUCAGCCACACUGGGACUGAGACACGGCCCAGACUCCUACGGGAGCAGCAGUAGGAAUAUUGGACAA
rnacentral:rRNA from 1 species